rnacentral:rRNA from 1 species
ACUCCUACGGGAGGCAGCAGUGGGGAAUUUUGGACAAUGGGGGCAACCCUGAUCCAGCCAUGCCGCGUGAGUGAAGAAGGCCUUCGGGUUGUAAAGCUCUUUCGGCCGGGAAGAAAUCGUGUUCUCUAACAUAGGACAUGGAUGACGGUACCGGACUAAGAAGCACCGGCUAACUACGUGCCAGCAGCCGCGGUAAUACGUAGGGUGCGAGCGUUAAUCGGAAUUACUGGGCGUAAAGCGUGCGCAGGCGGUUCUGUAAGACAGAUGUGAAAUCCCCGGGCUUAACCUGGGAACUGCGUUUGUGACUGCAAGGCUAGAGUACGGCAGAGGGGGGUGGAAUUCCUGGUGUAGCAGUGAAAUGCGUAGAUAUCAGGAGGAACACCGAUGGCGAAGGCAGCCCCCUGGGCCUGUACUGACGCUCAUGCACGAAAGCGUGGGGAGCAAACAGGAUUAGAUACCCUGGUAGUC